UCAGAAAGGUCAUUUUUUAAAACAUCCAUUGUAGCUGAUUCACUAACGUCCAGGGGUUUUUGCCAUACACACAGCACAGAUUUUUUUGAUUAUGUAGAUUUUUUUUUUCUAUUGCAGUUUCAUAUGCAAAGCAUGCAUCAGCCACAUCCAUGCUAUCUCCUAAAGCAGUCAUUCUGAAACCCAAUCUGGGGACAGUGCAGACUAAAUAAAAUUUCAUUUUGAUUUGGCCUCCCGCUGAGAAUGGGACUGCUUUGUUUCAGCCGACAGAACCAGCAAGCCAGAAAGGUGUUGAAUACACAAAUACUGACUUAAUGGACAAUUAUGACUUUAGGACUCCAGGGCAACUACUGAGGGAUAAUAUUACCAGGGUCAUUGUGGUAGAGGAAAUAUUUUUAUAUGGGCGUCAGGAAACGGUGGUCUGGCUAGUGACUGCAGUGGUGUGGAUGGUUACAUGAACAGUAUUUACUCAGGGACAAAGCAUGCCAUCGUUUACCUCUGCCCCAGACCUCAUGGACUACAAGAACAAAUCAAAGUCAAUGCCACCUGGAAAUAUCCAUUGAGGAAGGAUUGUGGAGUCUAGCACCUUGAAACAACCCUUCAACCUGAAGCAAGAGAAUGUCCCUCUGAAGUUCAGGGAACACACAGUCCCACAUCACUGAAGAAAAUGAAACAGAAUGGACGACCGGACCGUUGGUGUUCUUGAGUUCUGCCUCUGAUAAAUGGGUUUUUGAGGAUCAUAUUCUUUGACAUGGAAGCUACCUCCAUGGUUUACUUAUGUGGAUAUCAAAAUAAUCGAUUUGGAUUUGGCUUGCUUGAUGCUGGACGAUUAAUGAAGGAAGCCCUAACUGGACAAAUGUUGGUCUCCUGAGACAAUGUGUUGUUGAUAACAGAAAAAGAUUGCGAAAUAGGAUGUGGAUGUCCAUCUUCAAAGAACUCUAGUUGCCAAGUGAAAACCAGUUAAUUUUGACUGACCACUUUCUCAGCAUCCACUCCUUGUUGAAAUGGCAAAGGAAUGCUGUAUCCAUAGAUAAGAACAAGCUUGUUAACUGAAUGUGGAGAGAUGAAGCAAGCAAAAACAAAGAGAAGUGCAAACAGCUUUGCUGCCACUAUUGUCUAUGACACUGUAUUAGGUCCCAAUUUAGGAUCAAUGAGUGAAUAGGUAUGUAAGAGAAAACACCACUAUUCUACAAAGAAAGGGUAUUUAAAAGGAUUAUUUUAUUUUUUUAAGGAAAAUUCAUGUAAAAUACCUUCUCAGACACGACAUGAUGAUGAUACUAAAGAAGGAGCUUAAUUUGGUUGUCUUAAUUUCAGAUCUUUACAGUGGAACAGUGUUAUGGACAGGUAAUAACUUUCUUGAUCUUAUCAUGUAUUGCCUCACUAUUAACCUUGCUAUUUUUCUAUUGAAGUUACUCAUAUGAGAGAAACCACUAUGUUGUAAAA